GGCGGCGUGCUUAACACAUGCAAGUCGAGCGGAAAGGCCCUUCGGGGUACUCGAGCGGCGAACGGGUGAGUAACACGUGAGCAACCUGCCCCAGGCUUUGGGAUAACCCCGGGAAACCGGGGCUAAUACCGAAUAUGACCUCCGAUCGCAUGGUUGGUGGUGGAAAGUUUUUCGGCUUGGGAUGGGCUCGCGGCCUAUCAGCUUGUUGGUGGGGUGAUGGCCUACCAAGGCGACGACGGGUAGCCGGCCUGAGAGGGCGACCGGCCACACUGGGACUGAGACACGGCCCAGACUCCUACGGGAGGCAGCAGUGGGGAAUAUUGCACAAUGGGCGGAAGCCUGAUGCAGCGACGCCGCGUGAGGGAUGACGGCCUUCGGGUUGUAAACCUCUUUCAGCAGGGACGAAGCGUAAGUGACGGUACCUGCAGAAGAAGCGCCGGCCAACUACGUGCCAGCAGCCGCGGUAAGACGUAGGGCGCGAGCGUUGUCCGGAUUUAUUGGGCGUAAAGAGCUCGUAGGCGGCUUGUCGCGUCGACUGUGAAAACCCGCAGCUCAACUGCGGGCCUGCAGUCGAUACGGGCAGGCUAGAGUUCGGUAGGGGAGACUGGAAUUCCUGGUGUAGCGGUGAAAUGCGCAGAUAUCAGGAGGAACACCGGUGGCGAAGGCGGGUCUCUGGGCCGAUACUGACGCUGAGGAGCGAAAGCGUGGGGAGCGAACAGGAUUAGAUACCCUGGUAGUCCACGCUGUAAACGUUGGGCGCUAGGUGUGGGGGGCCUCUCCGGUUCCCUGUGCCGCAGCUAACGCAUUAAGCGCCCCGC
rnacentral:rRNA from 1 species